GGUCUUGCUCUGUUGCCCAGGCUGGAGUGCAGUGGUACCAUCACAGCUCACUGCAGCUUUGACCUUCCAGGCUCAAGUGGUCUUCCUGCCCCAGCCUCCCAAGUAGCUGGAACCACAGGCACACCACCAUAACCAGGUGUACAUGGACAUCAAGAUUGGGAACAAGCCGGCUGGCUGCAUCCAAACCCUCCUGCGUUCUGACGUCGUGCCCAUGACCGCAGAGAAUUUUCUCUACCUGUGCACCCAUUUAAAGGACUCGGCUUCAAGGGAAGCAGCUUCCACCGCAUUAUCCCCCAGUUCAUGUGCCAGGGCAGUGAUUUCACAAACCACGGUGGCACCAGGGGUCUGCGCAGGCAUGGCACUAAGUGUCCCAUGGCACAUUUGGCCCUCAUGGAGGCCUCAAAAGGGCAGGACCAGCACCCUCUUCUACGGAGGAAGGAACGGGCACAGCAGGCUCAGCUUGGACCUCUCUUCUGAACUCCAGACUUGCGGAUCCUGCUCCCCUUCCCACUUCUGCACUUGGGGGUCUAAUGAGGCCUCAGUGGAACAUAGAAUUCCUCCCACCCUGACAUCAUAGCUCCCACCUGGGAGGCCUCCUGGAUGACUCCUUUCGCCUCCUCCCUUCCCUGAGAGCAGCCCCUGGCUCAACCUCCACCUCCAUGCUGCCUCGGACCACCUGCCCGGUCGAGCUGCCAUCACCUGCCAGGUGACCACAGCAGCCCUCACUCAUCCCCUGCUCCUCUGCCUUCCACUCCCCCCACCAUCAGCCUCCCCAAGCCAGAAAGGUCCUUCUGGAGGGUGAUGCAAACCAGGACACUGCUUUGCUGAAGACCUCUGACAGCCUCUAGGGUUGCUUGGAAUAAAAUCCACCCUCCUUCCCAGGGAACCCCAGGCCCUAGGGGAGCUGGCCCGGCUCACCCCGGCAUCACCUCCCUCCACUCUCCUCCCCUUCACUGCACCCAGCCCCUCCUCCCUGCUGGCCCUGAACUUAGGGCCAGCUUGCUCCUGUCUUAGGGCCUUGCACUUGCUCCUCCUGGAACAUUCCUCCUCCAGCUGCUGACGUGCCCCGCCUUGUGUGGAGAGGCUGGGCCCAGUCUCACUCCACUGACGGCACGGCUGCUCUGCUCUUCCUCACAGGAGGUGUCAACUCCACAGCUGGUUUGCUUCUGUGCCCACCGACAGCCUCCCCUAGAGCACAGUGCCUGUUUGCUGCCCUGCAGGCUGUGAGCACUCACUUUAGCUGAGCCCCUGAGGGGCAGGGGCAAGGGCAGAGGAGAUGGAGUCCGGGAGCUGCAGGUGCAGUCACCUUCCCAUGUACCUCCCACACAUGCAGCUGUGAGAACCACAUGGCAUAAAGGGUGGCUGGGCCAGGCCACCCCACGCGUCCUCAUCACCCCUGGGCCUUUCCAAGGAGAUGGCUCCAGGUGUCCAGCAAACACCAUUUGACUGACCAGAAAGGAAGCAUUAUCAUAGGCUCAGAGCAGCUUUUGGUAAUUUCUUUCCUCUCACACCAAGGCAUUGUGUGUGCACGUGUGUGUGUGUGUGUGUGUGUGUGUGUGUGUUUUAAUUUUUAUUUUAGAGACAGGGUUUUGCUGUGUUGCUCAGGCUUGUCUUGAACUUCUGGGCUCGUGUGCUGCGAUUACAGGGUGAGCCACUGCGCCUGAUCAAGGCAUCACUGUUGAACCUCCUAAGAGGAAAACAUAAGGCUGUGCAAUACCAGGAACUGGGAUUCUAGGUUGCCCCAGACACCAAGGCAUCAAAAGCCAGGGGAUCCAGAGAAAACACAGACAGCCAAGAGAGAAACUGGGAAAAGCCAAAAGGUUGAGAGCCACACCAUCUAGAAGCUUCCUGCCUGCGGUGCGGCACAGGUGGUGAUUGUCAUUUCAGAAACAAGGAGAGUCAGCAAUUACCAGCCAGCCGAGGUCCUGGAAGCUGACGUAGAGCUCGUGCCGACGGCAGACCUGCCGGCCGUGGGAGCCGUGGACGUCAUCUGCAGGGACAGAAGGGGCAAGGUCUUUUCUGGGGUUCCUGCUGUGUGCAGCUACUAUGGGGUACCAGGGUGGGGGAUGCCCUUAUGAGCACAUUUGUCAAAUAAAUGAAUGACAGGAAACCA